ACGGAAGGCAGCAGUGGGGAAUAUUGGGCAAUGGGCGAAAGCCUGACCCAGCAACGCCGCGUGAGGGAAGAAGGUUUUCGGAUUGUAAACCUCUGUCCUUGGGGACGAAGGAAGUGACGGUACCCGAGGAGGAAGCCCCGGCUAACUACGUGCCAGCAGCCGCGGUAAUACGUAGGGGGCGAGCGUUGUCCGGAAUGACUGGGCGUAAAGGGCGCGUAGGCGGCUAUUUAAGUUAGGAGUGAAAGUCCUGCUUUUAAGGUGGGAAUUGCUUUUAAAACUGGAUAGCUUGAGUGCGGAAGAGGUAAGUGGAAUUCCCAGUGUAGCGGUGAAAUGCGUAGAGAUUGGGAAGAACACCAGUGGCGAAGGCGACUUACUGGGCCGUAACUGACGCUGAGGCGCGAAAGCGUGGGGAGCGAACAGGAUUAGAUACCCUGGUA
rnacentral:rRNA from 1 species